GAACGAACGCUGGCGGCAUGCCUAACCCAUGCAAGUCGAACGAGACCUUCGGGUCUAGUGGCGCACGGGUGCGUAACGCGUGGGAACCUGCCCUUAGGUUCGGAAUAACUCCCCGAAAGGGGUGCUAAUACCGGAUAAUGUCUUCGGACCAAAGAUUUAUCGCCUUUGGAUGGGCCCGCGUUGGAUUAGCUAGUUGGUAGGGUAAAAGCCUACCAAGGCGACGAUCCAUAGCUGGUCUGAGAGGAUGAUCAGCCACACUGGGACUGAGACACGGCCCAGACUCCUACGGGAGGCAGCGGUGGGGAAUAUUGGACGAUGGGCGAAAGCCUGAUCCAGCAAUGCCGCGUGAGUGAUGAAGGCCUUAGGGUUGUAAAGCUCUUUUACCCGGGAUGAUAAUGACAGUACCGGGAGAAUAAGCUCCAGCUAACUCCGUG
rnacentral:rRNA from 1 species